UGGGGAAUAUUGGACAAUGGGCGCAAGCCUGAUCCAGCAAUGCCGCGUGAGUGAUGAAGGCCUUAGGGUUGUAAAGCUCUUUUACCAGGGAUGAUAAUGACAGUACCUGGAGAAUAAGCUCCGGCUAACUCCGUG
rnacentral:rRNA from 1 species